rnacentral:rRNA from 1 species
UCUGGUGCCAGCAGCCGCGGUAAUUCCAGCUCCAAUAGCGUAUAUUAAAGUUGUUGCAGUUAAAAAGCUCGUAGUUGGAUUUCUGUUAAUAAUUUAUAUAAAAUAUUUUGAAUAUUUAUAUAACAUUAACAUAAUUCAUAUUACUAUAUUUUUUAGUAUAUGAAAUUUUACUUUGAGAAAAUUAGAGUGCUUAGAGCAGGCAUAUGCCUUGAAUACUCCAGCAUGGAAUAAUAUUAAAGAUUUUUAUCUUUCUUAUUGGUUCUAAGAUAAGAAUAAUGAUUAAUAGGGACAGUUGGGGGCAUUUGUAUUUAACAGUCAGAGGUGAAAUUCUUAGAUUUGUUAAAGACAAACUAAUGCGAAAGCAUUUGCCAAGGAUGUUUUCAUUAAUCAAGAACGAAAGUUAGGGGAUCGAAGACGAUCAGAUACCGUCGUAGUCUUAACCAUAAACUAUGCCAACUAGAGAUUGGAGGUUGUUCCUUACUCCUUCA